GUGUGCUUGAGCAAGUCAGACAAAUCACAAGAUGGAAUCAGAUAUAGCUGUGUUUCCACUGUGAACCUAAAGUUCACUUGCCAGGUUUGAUUAAAUACGACUUUGCACCAUUUCCCUGGAUUGCACAGCCAGUGUGCUCCUGCUACAGCAUUCAGCCGAGAUCUCAAGGUCACAAAACAUCUUUUGUUUCGGAGUUUCCCCCUGACAGCUGGACACUUCAUGAUUCCAGUGGACCAGACCAUCGUGAAUGGCAGUGUUCCCAAUUUUGCCAAUGCCCUGUUUGAAACAUACCACUGCCACAACAUCAGUUAUCCACCAGAACUUGGA